GUGGGGAAUCUUGCGCAAUGGGCGAAAGCCUGACGCAGCCAUGCCGCGUGAAUGAUGAAGGUCUUAGGAUUGUAAAAUUCUUUCACCGGGGACGAUAAUGACGGUACCCGGAGAAGAAGCCCCGGCUAACUUCGUGCCAGCAGCCGAGGUAAUACGAAGGGGGCUAGCGUUGCUCGGAAUUACUGGGCGUAAAGGGCGCGUAGGCGGAUCGUUAAGUCAGGGGUGAAAUCCCAGAGCUCAACUCUGGAACUGCCAUUGAUACUGGAGAUCUUGAGUGUGAGAGAGGUAUGUGGAACUCCGAGUGUAGAGGUGAAAUUCGUAGAUAUUCGGAAGAACACCAGUGGCGAAGGCGACAUACUGGCUCAUUACUGACGCUGAGGCGCGAAAGCGUGGGAAGCAAACAGGAUUAGAUACCCCGGUAGUCC
rnacentral:rRNA from 1 species